AACUGGAUCGAGGGAAGAGGAAA
rnacentral:piRNA from 1 species